rnacentral:rRNA from 1 species
CAAUAGCGUAUAUUAAAGUUGUUGCAGUUAAAAAGCUCGUAGUUGGAUUUCUGGUUGGAGCGACCGGUCGGGCAUUGAUUUGUCUGCACUGGAGUCGGUUCUGGCCAUCCUCUUGGAAAGUGCGUCUGUCAUUAAGUUGUCGGGCGUAUGAUCCAGGUCUUUUACUGUGAAAAAAUUGGAGUGUUUAAAGCAGGCCUUCGCCUUGAAUACAUUAGCAUGGAAUAAUAAGAUAGGACUUUGGUCUAUUUUGUUGGUUUGCAGACCGAAGUAAUGAUUAAUAGGGAUAGUUGGGGGUAUUUAUAUUCCAAUGUCAGAGGUGAAAUUCUUAGAUUUUUGGAAGAUAAACUUAUGCGAAAGCAUUUACCAAGGAUGUUUUCAUUAA